UACGUAGGGUGCAAGCGUUAAUCGGAAUUACUGGGCGUAAAGCGUGCGCAGGCGGUUAUGUAAGACAGGUGGGAAAUCCCCGGGCUUAACCUGGGAACUGCAUUUGUGACUGCAUAGCUAGAGUAUGGUAGAGGGGGAUGGAAUUCCGCGUGUAGCAGUGAAAUGCGUAGAUAUGUGGAGGAACACCGAUGGCGAAGGCAGCCCCCUGGGUCAAGACUGACGCUCAUGCACGAAAGCGUGGGGAGCAAACAGG
rnacentral:rRNA from 1 species